CGGGAUCGUGGAACUUUACAAAACACACACGUGAUGACACAGGCAAAGGAGAAUCAUCGGGGGGGAAGAGGCGCAGCUCCUCGAUCUUUCCGAGGAAGCCGAAGAGCGUCCGCAUCUGCUCGGAGCUGGCGCUGGGGGAGACGUUGGUGACCUGGAUCACGUCGGUGCUGCUCGAGGCCAUCGCGCCGGAGCUACAAACACAUCGGGGGGAGGGGGAGGAGGGAAGAGCGCGUCAAGGCCCGAGCAGCCCCCGGCUGCGCCGUCCGGGCCGGGAGGGCCUCCCGCGGACCGCGGCCUGGCGCAGAAGCUCCGCCGCGCAGCACGGCCGCCUCACCAGCCUGCCUGGGCCGCAGUAUCCCACAAUGCCCCGCCGCCGCCCCCGCGCAGGCGCAGCGCGCGCGCCCCGCCGACCCACGCAGCCUCACGGCACGGAGCGCCGGCGGCUGCGCAUGCGCGUGUCCCCUGCCCCUCCCGGGAAGGCGCGGGGACGGCGCCUGCGCAGCCGAGCGGAGGGAGUCGCUCCGCCUCCGCGCACGCGCGCUGGGCGCCCAGGGGCGCGCGGGACGCGUGGCACAUGCGCAGAGCGGGAAUGGGGCUGGCGGCGGCCGUUGGUCGUGAGGCGUUCGGCCUCGUGUGCGUGUGCUCGGGGCGGAGGAGCGGCUCUGAAGAUUUCAGCGGUGCUGCUGAGCCCCGGGCGUCCUCUGCGCACCAUCCAGACUCUUCUCAGUCCCUAAGGGGGCGGACGGGCGUCAGGGCCUCAGCCCGAGCUGGGCCGGCACGUUAGGGCCUUGUGCGAGGUGUUGUGAAGGAGCUCGGUGGGGGGCACCCGCUGAGGUGCUGCCGUGAGGGCAGCGCUGCUCCGUCCUUGCUCGGCCGGCCGGCUGCUGUGUGGGUUAGUUCUGCUCCCACAGGGAUGCGUGGCUUUGUUGUCUGCACUCACUGUGGUGAAUGUGCUGCGGAGGGGCGGCUGACACUCAGCUGCACACUAAGUAAAGCUGCCAGUUAUUUCCCAAAAUGCAUUAAGGUGCUCUUCAAGUAAUGAUUAUUAAUAAUAAAGGAAAUCUGCCCCUCCCCAGAGCCUUCCCCCCCAUCAUGAUUGUGGAGUCAGUCAGCUCCAGCGUUGCUGCCCCCCAGGCACACCUUCCUCUCACAGGAACAAACAUGAGAAAACUUGAACACUUUGUGCUUCUGGGAGCACGUGGUGGAAAAGCCCAGCACGCUCCUGUGGAAUACUGACCAGGGGUGCCAAUGAGCUGAAGAGCAGUGGUUAAAAACCAAAUCUGCUAUGAGAAGCGGGAGCCCGGUGGGCAGUGUGCUCUCAAGCUGUGUGCUCACUGACCCGUGCUGCUGUUCAGCACCAAAAUCACUGCUUUUACGUCCAAUGGAACUUACCAGAAAAGUUUUUUUUUCCUUUUCCCAAAGGGUUGUGUUUGAAACCUCGUAGCUGAAGGUUACAUCCUGUGUGGCCAGGAAGCAUGGCCAUUCUCACUUCCCUCAAGGCACUGCUGGUAGCACCGGGCUGAUAGAAUCACAGAGUGGUUUGGGUUGGAAGGGUCCUUUAAGACCAUCCAGUUCCAAUCCCCUGCUGUAGGCAGGGACACCUCCCCUAGACCAGGUUGCUCACAGCCCCAUCCAGCCUGGCCUUGAGUGCCUCCAGGCAGGGGGCAUCCACAGCCUCUCCAGGCAGUCUGUUCCAGUGGCUGAUGGCAGUGCCUGGGCUGUCUGCUCCCACUAACUGCCAGGGCUGGGAAGCAGACAGAAAUUUUUCAAGCUCUGGGCUAAAGGGGAGAGGAAAAGCAAAUAACGAGUUUUAGUAGAAGUGCCUUUUUAUUUUGAAUCCUUUACGUGCAUGUUUAAAAUGUUUUUCUUAAGCUCAGUGAGGGAAGGUUUAGGUUGGAUGUCUGGGGGAAGUUCUUCACAGAGAGCAGUGAGGUGCUGAACAGCUGCCCAGAGAGGCUGUGGAUGCCCCGUCCAUCCCUGGAGGUGUUUAAGGCCAGGUUGGAUGGGGCCCUGGGCAGCCUGGGCUGG
rnacentral:lncRNA from 1 species